rnacentral:lncRNA from 1 species
GAUGUUUCAAACAAUAACUCAAUUCUUUUCAUUGCACAUUCUUUGUUGGCGCGUUUGUGUGGUGUAAAGAUUUGAGUUAUUCUGAAUUUUUAAUGAAUUAAUAAUUUGAUUUGCCAUCUUCAAAGAAAAAAAGUAGAUAUAUUCAAAACUUAAUCUUUUAUCUUCAAUUUUUAAAUCAUAAUCCAUUGUACAGCAUUUUGGACCAUUAAGAGCUGGACAAGACAACCAAAGCGGGUUAUGGUGCUGAAAGUACCAUUAUUGUAAACUGGACUUCUACAAUCCAUUUGAGGGUGUAGUAAUAUCUGCUACUAUUUCCUCCCUAAGGGCGUUGUAACGGACAUAAAUUAAGGCUUAGAAAUAAGAAUGUCACAACAACAGUGAUGUUGUCUACACAUAGAGGUAGCGGGAAAGUAUAGGUCCUAUUUGUAGGGACAGACAGUGCCACUCUGCACGUUAAAGAACCCUUGUCACAACUCUUUUGAGGUGUCAGUAGGAUGUGGCUUGUUGCAUUAAUAGGCUAAAUUUCUGUCCAAAAAUAUCCUCCUCGGUUGGCAGUCAAAAUUCCCCCUCCCUUCACCAUAGGAUUGGACCACUUUAUAGAACCUACAAAUUGAUUUGUUGUGAUAUCAAGAGAUGUGAGACAACUAUCCUACAGAGACCAAAUGAUGUUAAUGUAAAAUAGGUUACUGUAUGGGCUUCAACAAUGAGAAAAUCCACUAACAUUAAAAUUGUGCAAUAUUCUGAUUUAGAAUGACUUGUUUAUACCUCCAAACUUUAACAUCUGAAAUUUUUUAUUAUCUAGAGCUCUGUAAAAAAAAAAAGAAAAAUAUAUAAAAAAGAAAAUACCAAAAAAUAAUAUGAAAGCAAAAUAGAAAACAGAGUUCUAGAUAAUAAACAUUGAGGGUGGGAUUAUUUUGAUAUUUUUAUGACCCCCGCCUUUAAGUCUUCUAAAGUUAUCAUAUUUAAAACAAAACAAAAAUUGGAAUGGCAGUUUAAAAAGUAUAGGUCCUUUCUGUAGGGACAGUGCAACUCUGCAUGUUAAAGAACCCUUGCCACAAAUCUUUUGAGGUGUCAGUAGGAUGUGGCUUGUUGCAAGGCUAACUUUCUGUCCAACAUUAUCCUCCUCUCUAUGAAUUAAUAAUUAGAUUUGUUAUCUUCAAAGAAAAAAAAGAAAGUAUCCAAAACUUUUAAUCUUUAAUCAUUUGCAACACAGAAGUUAUUAAUGUCUUCCAAAGAACUUGUCCUUAGUGUGUUCCAAAGAAAACUUGUCCUGAGAUCUGAAAAUUGCUGUUCAGAUAAAAAGCAAUGUGUGAAACUUUAAUAUUUUUGAUGUUUCAAACAAUAACUCGAUUCCUUUCAUUGCACAUUCUUUGUUGGCGCGUUUGUGUGGUGUAAAGAAUUGAGUUAUUCUGAAUUUUUAAUGAAUUAAUAAUUUGAUUUGCCAUCUUCAAAGAAAGAAAAAGUAGAUAUCCAAAACUUAUCUUUUAUCUUCAAUUUUUAAAACAUAAUCCAUUGUACAGCAUUUUGGACAAUUAAGAGCUGGCAAGACAACCGAACCGCGCAAUGGUGCUGAAAGUACCAUUAUUGUAAUCUGGACUUCUACAGUCCAUUUGAGGGUGUAGUAAUAUUUGCCACUAUUUCCUCCCUAAGGGCCUUGUAACAGGCAUAAAUAAAGGCUUAGAAAUAAGAAUGUCACAACAACAGUGAUGUUGUCUACACAUAGAGGUAGCGGGAAAGUAUAGGUCCUAUUUGUAGGGACAGACAGUGCCACUCUGCACGUUAAAGAACCCUUGUCACAACUCUUUUGAGGUGUCAGUAGGAUGUGGCUUGUUGCAUUAAUAGGCUAAAUUUCUGUCCAAAAAUAUCCUCCUCGGUUGGCAGUCAAAAUUCCCCCUCCCUUCACCAUAGGAUUGGACCACUUUAUAGAACCUACAAAUUGAUUUGUUGUGAUAUCAAGAGAUGUGAGACAACUAUCCUACAGAGACCAAAUGAUGUUAAUGUAAAAUAGGUUACUGUAUGGGCUUCAACAAUGAGAAAAUCCACUAACAUUAAAAUUUUGCAAUAUUCUGAUUUAGAAUGACUUGUUUAUACCUCCAAACUUUAACAUCUGAUAUUUUUAUUAUCUAGAGCUUUGUAAAAAAAAAAAGAAAAAAAAAUAUAAAAAAGAAAAUACCAAAAAAUAAUAUGAAAGCAAAAUAGAAAACAUAGUUCUAGAUAAUAAACAUUGAGGGUGGGAUAAUUUUGAUAUUUUUAUGACCCCCACCUUUAAGUCUUCUAAAGUUCUCAUAUUUAAAACAAAAAAAAUUGGAAUGGCAGUUUAAAAAGUAUAGGUCCUUUCUGUAGGGACAGUGCAACUCUGCAUGUUAAAGAACCCUUGCCACAAAUCUUUUGAGGUGUCAGUAGGAUGUGGCUUGUUGCAAAGGCUAACUUUCUGUCCAACAUUAUCCUCCUCUCGGUUGGCAGUCAAAAUUUCCCCUACCUUCAUCAUUGGCCCACCUUUGAGAACCUACAAAUUGUUUUGUUGUGAUAUCAAGAGAUGUGAGACAACUAUCCUACAGAGACCAAAUGAUGUUAAUGUAAAAUAGGUUACUGUAUGGGCUUCAACAAUGAGAAAAUCCACUAACAUUACAAUUUUGCAAUAUUUUGAUUGAGAAUGACUUGUUUAUACCUCCAAACUUUAACACCUGAUAUUUUUAUUAUCUAGAGCUCGUGAAUUAAUAAUUUGAUUUGCCAUCUUCAGAGAAAAAAAGAAGAUAUUCAAAACUUAAUCUUUUAUCUUCAAUUUUUAAAACAUAAUCCAUUGUACAGCAUUUUGGACCAUUAAGAGCUGGGCAAGACAACCAAACCGUGCAAUGGUGCUGAAAGUACCAUUAUUGUAAUCUGGACUUCUACAGUCCAUUUGAGGGUGUAGUUUUUCUCCCUAAGGGCGUUGUAACGGACAUAAAUUAAGGCUUAGAAAUGAGAACGUCACAACAACAGUGACAUUGUCUACAUAUAGAGAGGUAGCAGGAACACCUCUUGUGCAAUUCUUAACACCUCCAUAUACUCCAUCCACCAUCUAAAGCUGGUAUGACACAAGAUCCAAUAGUGUUGAAAAGUAAAAAGCAAUAUGAUUAUUGUAAUCAAGACUUCUCCAGUUCAUUUAAAGGAAUGUUACUGUGAUACAGGGUUUUCCAUCAUUAAGAGCUGGGCACGACAAAAGAACCAAUAAUAGUGAAAUUAGCAUUUUGGUAAUUUCGACCUUUCCAGUCUUGUUUAUGUCAGUUGAAAUCAUUUGAAAAACAAAAAUUUAUAAUGUGUUCCAAAGAAAACUUGUCCUGAGAUCUGAAAAUUGCUGUUCAAAUAAAAACAAUGUGAACAUUUAACAUUUUUGAUUUUCAAACAAUAACUCAUUUCUUGUCAUUGCACAUUCUUUGUUGGCACUGCAGUAUAUUUUAAAAAAAAGAAAAAAAGAAAGAAAAAAGAAUGGACAAAAAAUAAAUAUGUUACCUCCGGAAAGUUUGUGUGGUGUAAACAAUUGGGUUAGUCUGAAUUUUUAAUGAAUUAAUAAUUAGAUUUGUUAUCUUCAAAGAAAAAAAGAAAGUAUCCAAAACUUUUAAUCUUUUGCAAAACAGAAAUUUAUAAUGUCUUCCAAAGAUAACUUGUCCUGAGUGUGUUCCAAAGAAAACUUGUCCUGAGAUCUGAAAAUUGCUGUUCAAAUAAAAAACAAUGCGUGAAACUUUAACAUUUUUGAUGUUUCAAACAAUAACUCAAUUCUUUUCAUUGCACAUUCUUUGUUGGCGCGUUUGUGUGGUGUAAAGAUUUGAGUUAUUCUGAAUUUUUAAUGAAUUAAUAAUUUGAUUUGCCAUCUUCAAAGAAAAAAAGUAGAUAUAUUCAAAACUUAAUCUUUUAUCUUCAAUUUUUAAAUCAUAAUCCAUUGUACAGCAUUUUGGACCAUUAAGAGCUGGACAAGACAACCAAAGCGGGUUAUGGUGCUGAAAGUACCAUUAUUGUAAACUGGACUUCUACAAUCCAUUUGAGGGUGUAGUACUAUCUGCUACUAUUUCCUCCCUAAGGGCGUUGUAACGGACAUAAAUUAAGGCUUAGAAAUAAGAAUGUCACAACAACAGUGAUGUUGUCUACACAUAGAGGUAGCGGGAAAGUAUAGGUCCUAUUUGUAGGGACAGACAGUGCCACUCUGCACGUUAAAGAACCCUUGUCACAACUCUUUUGAGGUGUCAGUAGGAUGUGGCUUGUUGCAUUAGGCUAAAUUUCUGUCCAAAAAUAUCCUCCUCGGUUGGCAGUCAAAAUUUCCCCUCCCUUCACCAUAGGAUUGGACCACUUUAUAGAACCUACAAAUUGAUUUGUUGUGAUAUCAAGAGAUGUGAGACAACUAUACUACAGAGACCAAUUGAUGUUAAUGUAAAAUAGGUUACUGUAUGGGCUCCAACAAUGAGAAAAUCCACUAACAUUAAAAUUGUGCAAUAUUCUGAUUUAGAAUGACUUGUUUAUACCUCCAAACUUUAACAUCUGAUAUUUUUAUUAUCUAGAGCUCUGUAAAAAAAAAAAGAAAAAAAUAUAUAAAAAAGAAAAUACCAAAAAAUAAUAUGAAAGCAAAAUAGAAAACAGAGUUCUAGAUAAUAAACAUUGAGGGUGGGAUUAUUUUGAUAUUUUUAUGACCCCCGCCUUUAAGUCUUCUAAAGUUAUCAUAUUUAAAACAAAACAAAAAUUGGAAUGGCAGUUUAAAAAGUAUAGGUCCUUUCUGUAGGGACAGUGCAACUCUGCAUGUUAAAGAACCCUUGCCACAAAUCUUUUGAGGUGUCAGUAGGAUGUGGCUUGUUGCAAGGCUAACUUUCUGUCCAACAUUAUCCUCCUCUCGGCUGGCAGUCAAAAUUUCCCCUACCUUCAUCAUUGGCCCACCUUUGAGAACCUACAAAUUGUUUUGUUGUGAUAUCAAGAGAUGUGAGACAACUAUCCUACAGAGACCAAAUGAUGUUAAUGUAAAAUAGGUUACUGUAUGGGCUUCAACAAUGAGAAAAUCCACUAACAUUACAAUUUUGCAAUAUUUUGAUUGAGAAUGACUUGUUUAUACCUCCAAACUUUAACACCUGAUAUUUUUAUUAUCUUA